UACGUAGGGUCCAAACGUUGCUCGGAAUUAUUGGGCGUAAAGGGUACGCAGGCGGCUGUGCAAGUCUGAGGUGAAAUUCCGAGGCUCAACCUCGGGGCUGCCUUGGAUACUGCACGGCUAGAGUUGUAAUAGGGGUGGCAGGAAUUCCUGGUGUAGGAGUGAAAUCCGUAGAUAUUAGAAGGAACACCGGUGGCGAAGGCGGCUACCUGGACCGAUAUUGACGCUGAGACGCGAAAGCGUGGGUAGCAAACAGG
rnacentral:rRNA from 1 species